rnacentral:rRNA from 1 species
UACGUAGGGGGCUAGCGUUGUUCGGAAUUACUGGGCGUAAAGCGCGCGUAGGCGGACCUGCAAGUCGGGGGUGAAAGCCCGAGGCUCAACCUCGGAACUGCCUUCGAUACUGCGGGUCUCGAGUCCGGGAGAGGUGAGUGGAAUUCCUAGUGUAGAGGUGAAAUGCGUAGAUAUCUGGAGGAACACCGGUGGCGAAGGCGGCAUCCUGGACCGGUAUUGACGCGUGAGGCGCGAAAAGCUAGGGGAGCAAACGGG